rnacentral:sRNA from 1 species
GCCAGGUACAGUAGCACAUGCCUGUAGUCCCAGCAACUUGGGAGGCUAAGGCAGGAGGAUCAUGUGUUCAAAGCCAGCCUCAGCAAUGGUGAGGUGCUAAGCAACUCAGUGAGAUCCUGUCUCUA